GCAGAUGUAAAUCAUGACUUAGGAGGUCGGUAAUAAGCAAUCACAGCAUACGAAGACUGAAUUGCCGACAGAACCAGAAGUAUGAAUGCCGCUAUAGCUGAUAUGAGGUACCACCGCGAUUUGAAGUAGGUGUUCUUGAAGCUGGCCCAAUGUACUCGGAAGUCCUUCUCACAAUACGUGUUCACAUCCUGGAACACCUGGCACAAAUGGUUCUUGCGGAUGUCAAACACAACAUCUUUCCCAAUGUUGCUAAAGAAAUGGGCAAUUUUCUCAUCCGUCCCAAAAUAUCUCUCAAUGAUCUUGCGGUUGCAUAGGAACUCAGCAUCUGCUGGUGUGUUAAGGAGGCAAGCCAUGAAAGUGGCAAAACUUGUGACAUGCUUGGAGGAGUCCCUGUGGCAUUGCUCAAAUGCAAUAAAAUUAAGGAACAGAGAACUCAUGAAGUCAUCGAAUUUUAGUACCGGAAUUUCCAAGACACCAUUGCUGAAUUUGAUGUCCAUGAAGCUUUCACAAUGGGUGGGCUUGAACUUAAUGCCUGCUUGGUAGAGCUUGUUUGCGGGCUGGAUCAGGCGAAGGAAUUUAUUUUGUUUUUGCUUUGUCUCUGGAGAGUCAUGGAUGUAAGUCAAACGGAGGAAAUUAAGCAGAUGUUCUCCUUCGCUGUUGGAGUACUUCUUCAAGAUAUGCUCUGGUCUUUGAAGCAUCCGGUUGAAGAAACUCAAGGCGAGAUCGGAUAGAGAAGUAUCGCUCUCAUUUGAAGAUCCCAGCGUCAUAUCGAACAGACGUUUAAGAACGAACCAUGGAAUUUGGUUCUCGAGCUUGGCGAGAUCCCGCAUAAGGAAAGGCAAAACCCAGGGCUCUGUCAACAAGGGGUCAUGCCUUGCGUCGGGGCCCCCUUUCAAUCUACGGGAGUACUUGCAGAACAGCUCAAUGAUGAAGCAAGCAUCAAGUACCAUCAUCUGGAUGAGCUCAUCGCUGUUGAAAGCUAAGGCCUCAGUAUAACACUUUCUUAUCUUCUCCUCCAUUGGCUUCAAAGCCUCAGCGAACUGUUGUAGCUUCUCCAUCUGUAGCCUCUCCGUCCUCUGGUGCCUUCGAUUGAGCAGAUCGAUGAAGAAUCGCCGCUUAUGCUCUUGAAUCUUUUCAAACUCUGGGUUUUUGUGGUGGUAGGGCCCAAUCGGGACCGUGCUAGGCCGGUACGCCAUCUGAUUGAUAUCGGACAGACUUUGAGGCACUCUAAAGAUGCAAAAACUUAUCUCGUCUGCUGAUCCUCGGCUCCUACCAUCGGACGACUCAACAUCGACCGCAUGAUGAGAAGAACUACUACCACUCCUGGCGUUUUGGUUGCUGCGAGAAUCCGACUCUCCGGGCAUUGGUGUUUGCUGAAGAUUUUUCUGCGAUUCGCACCGCGCAGAAGGUCUGAAUUUUUGUAGUACUUUUCGUGAUUGUAAAGAAUGAAGAUAGGCGAUGCCGGAAAUUACCAGGAAAUGGGCGUCAGUCUUGACUUGACUCUAUUAAUAAUUGAUGGUGGGGUCGUCUUGCUUUUAGUUUUAGUGAGAAAAGAAAAAUGACCGAAGCAGUGAAGAUGACCGGGAUAUAUCUAAGUAUUGGCUAGGUCGGUUCCACUUGAGUUUAUGUAUUGAUUUAUAAUGAAUUUCACAGAAGUAGCGUUGGCUUAUUUGACCAAUCUUCUAUGAGAUCGAGAGAGUUUUUUUUUUUUUUUUUUGUUGGGUUCCCCAUGGUUGUUGCGUUGCACUUUCCACCUUUUAAUUCCAUAAAAAGUUUAGAAGCUAGCAGCUGGGAACAUUACCCAAAAAUUUUGAUUCUCAACUUUUGAAUUUGUUUAAUGUACUUUUAAAUUGAUUUUUCAAUGUAAUCAAUCCAAUUAAUUUAGUUUACAAAAUUCUAGUGGGCCGGUUCAAUCAUUAUCGGUCAUCUUACAUAACAUGCGUGGCAAUCUAAUAUGUACAGCAACGUCAUAUCUUUUUUUAUAUUUUAGAUUUUUUCUUUUUUACUUUUACUGUUCAUCUUCUUCCUCAGUUCGAUAGGUACUGUUCAUCCACAAUUAUUGCCUUCUCCACCGCCACUGCUACGCCCUGCAUCUCCCCACCGCUCGACUUCAAACCCCGCCACGGCCAACCAAUAGCCUCAUGGGCAGAUCAUCCUCCGAUCCGAAGUCAUUGAACAGAUCCACCCUAGUUGCGAAGUCCUCGAAGCUUCCGGCCUGCUCUCAGAGUUUUGCCAACAUUGAUCGUACAAGAUAUUGAUCAUUGUGUCGCGACUUGAAGUUUUGGCAGAGGGAAACUUUGGGGGAGUGUUGGAUCGUCUUCCACGGAGAUUGGAGUCGAUUCCUCUAUAAUGUAAUGAUUGGAUGAAAAGAAAGGGGGUGGGAGCGGCCGUCGACCAGUCAGAAGGUGGGCAAAAUAAGAAAAGAAGCCGGCUGAACUCAAAACAAAAGAAGGCAACAGAAUAAAUAAAUAAAUAAAUAAAANNNNNNNNNNNNNNNNNNNNNNNNNNNNNNNNNNNNNNNNNNNNNNNNNNNNNNNNNNNNNNNNNNNNNNNNNNNNNNNNNNNNNNNNNNNNNNNNNNNNCGACCACUCUUCCCAACUCGUUCUUGUUCAUAAAUCGAUCAACCCAUUUCUCCAAACUUAGAUUUUUAUUAUACGCGGACACAUCAAGUUUCAAAGAUGGCUGUCCAGAGAUGAGCUCAAGAAGCAUUUUCCCAUAGGCGUGAACAUUCUUCUCCAGUACGCGCUUUCCUGUGAGCCAGCCCUCUGGGUCAUUUAACUCGACUCUGCUGAAGGCAUUGGUGGUGUCAACACAAGCAUCUUUAUAGAGAUGAUGAGUUUGAGGAGAGGAAUCAGAAUCAUGCGAAUCUUUUCCUUGGGAUGAGGAUGUGACACUCGCAGGGGGGUUGAGAAUAGGAAUAGUCCUUCCCUUAAAACAAAAACCUCCUAUCACGGCCUCAGAUUGGGCAUUCAGAUAUAUAGUCGACGAGGAAACGUCAUGGUACACGAUCGUAAUGUUGCAUUGAUCAUGUAGGUGCGCAAGACCUCUUGCCACUCCCAAGGCUAUACGCUUGCGAGCCAUCCAAUCGAGGGGUCGGAUGGACCGAUCCCGUUUAUGUCUGAGAUGAUAAGCUAGGCUGCAGUUGAUCAUCGAGGGAUAGACCAGUAAAAGCUCUUUCUUGGUCUUACAAAAUCCGAUUGCACAUAGCACGUUUGGGUGUGUCGAGCUUCCCAGUUGCACUUCUGCUUCGAACUGCUCUUCCCUCCAUUGAUCGACAACGGUCGCUCUCUUUACUGCCACUAACGAACCAUCAGCCAAGUGCCCCCGGUAAAGCUUCCCGAAUCUAGCUUCUGCCAAGAAGUUGUCGCAGCUAAAAUUGUCCGUGGCGACUCGGAGCUCCUUUAGGGAGAAGCUUUUAGGAGGUGUUUCAGGUUUUGGAUCACCUUGAACGGACUCGGUAUCACUGUUUGAGAGAUUGAACACCAUCUCCAAGGCGUACGGUUCUGGAACGGAGAUUCUUGGAAUCGAACAACGACGGUAACAGAAAAUAGAUUCUUCUCAAAUACAAAUGGAUCGUAUAAGCUAGAUGGUUUUUCUCGAUAGUUAGUGAUUGGUUCGAGAAAAAAACCUUUUGCGUACCCGAAGAGACCUGCUUGUACACAAAGUUUUCAUAACUCCAGUUCGGAUUAUGCCCGUCUCUCGCACGACUGCUUUUGGCUGGUGUGAAUGAAAGAAUUGGAAGGAAAAGACAUUAAAUUGUAGGCUUGUGUCAAGUGUGGGGCUCUCUCUCUCCAAAGCCUUCCUGUGAGCAGCUGCUAUAGAAAGAGUGAGAGGAUUCAUUGCCGCGAAGCUUCCAAAUUUGACAAAACGUGCAACUCGUCUAAAGCCAAAUUUGCAUAGUAUUCUUGGAUUCUUGAGCAUUGAAAGUCCAAAUGUGAACAGCGCUAGUCCUUGUCACUAUACUAGCUGUACAUUACAUGGAAACGCUGUUUAGCUUUUACAUAUUCCUGCAGAUCCAUACUUCUAAUUACUAGUAUUUGGAACACAUGCUUACUUGGAUUGAUCAUAUUGCAAUUUCAGUGGAAAAUUUUCUAUAUCAGUGGAAAUACUAGUAUUAAUUUUAGAUCAUUAUUCUAUUUCUCUAUGUUUCAUUUUGAAGAGAUAAUCCUCGGAAACAAGAAACAAACGCAUUAACAAUAAGUAGAAAUCUGUACUAUGAUAUAUUAAAGACAUAAAAUUUAUAUUAGUUGAUACAACAAAUAAAUGAAAAUCAGGAAUUUUUUAUGUUAGAUCUAUCUGAAGUUAGGGUUGACCAAAUUUUGGAAGAGACAAAAGUACUAGAUAUGAGCUCAUCUUCCUUGUAAACUCCCUCUGCAACUACUCUUGGCGUACUGCGAUUAUCAUAACUGAUUUUUCAAAUCUUGUGAUUUAAAAAUUAAUUAUUUCCUCUACAUUCUUGAAAAAUAUUUUGUGAAGAUACUUGGAAAGUUUGUGUCACUAAUUAAUCAAUGUACUAUCCAAGUACUCUUUGCUAUGCACAGGAUAUACAUGGAUUCCAUUCAUUGGUAUUUUAAUGGAGUACAAAAUUUUCAAAGCCAAGAGUGUUACCAAACUAAGGUACCAAUAAGUGUGGCCCAAGAAAAAAAAAUAGAGGUUGUGAGUGCUUAGUUUGAGCUAAAUGAUGUUAUUUUGUUACAAGACUGAUAAUAUUCGCAUUCAUUUAUUCAUUUGAGUUAAAUUGAAAAAGCAAUUUUAAUUAGCAUAGAAAGAUUUAGCCAUAAUAAAGACAAUGUUCAUACACGACGAGGGGAUUAUGAGAUAAAAAAUGACAAAUGUACUCAUGUGUCCAUGCUUAGAAAAUGAUACAAACUAUAUGUACAAUUUAGGAGAUUCUCAUAAGUGUAUAUAUUUGCUUUGAUUAUGCAUAUGCCUCAUUGAGUAUAUUUGAUGUCAUAAUAUUUGAUUAUGUUAGAUGGUAAUCUCACAUAAUCUAUAGAUAGGAUCAUAUUGUAAUAGUUAGAAAAAAAAAAAAAAAGUUUGACUCGGUCAAACUUGGUGGCUCUCUUCUAAUAAAACACAGGGAAACUGCCUCAAGUAAAAGAGAGAAAUAAUGAGAGAGAGAGAGAGAGAGAGAGAGAGAGAGAGAGAGAGAGGCUUGGUGAUGCAAGACGAGUACUCUCUUUUUCUUUGUCGAAGCAACACGAGUACUUAAGUGGUUAUAAUUUGUAUUAAGAUUUGCGAUUAGAGAUAAGUUAUUCUUUUGAAAAUCUAUCAUCCUAGAGAAAACUAUAGCAAAUUGCCCUGGAAGAUGGUUGAGAUUGAAAUGUGAAGAAGUGUACCUUAUCUUAGUGUUACGAUUAGAAGUACACGGUUAAUUAAUUAUGAUAGCGGAGGAAAUAUUAAUGUCUGCGUGCGCAUGCGUGUGUUAGCUUAAGUUCUUGAACUACCUGUUUAGGAAAAUGGUAUCCUUUGAGAUGGACUGUCAUUUCAAUUGACUUUGGUGACAUGAAGAUGAAUUGGUGACCGGGAAGAGUGCAUUCGAAUUAGAGUAUUAGCAAUAAGCAAGGAGCACCCAAAAAGGCCGUUUCUGUAUGUUAUAUUGGUUAAUUAAAAUAGAAUAAGGGUCAAUCUAUCUGGGCAUAGAAGAAAUGCAUAUAUUUUCGAGAUAAUUAAGGAAAAAAAUUAUUACCAUGAUAGAGCUAAUGGAGAUUGUCUAUGCAUUUUAUUUAAGAGAGAAAUCAAUUAGCAAAAUUGUCAAUAGAGAAAUAAUGAUUGCACAUAUUAUGUAGUUAUAGCUCAUGCUUGAUUUUGAAAUAAGGUUAUCAAUGAUCUCUGCUUGAGGUGUUAGGAAGAACAUGAAAAGUAUUUGAAGAUUUAGAUACAAUAAAUAAGAGUUGAUUUAUAUAAGUUUUCAAGUGGAUAAUGAUAUGAUUAGGCGAUGUACAUAAUUGAAAUGACGGAAAUGUUGAAAGAACAAUUCAUGGUUAGUGAGAUAUUUGGGUUGUGAUGACUAUAGAAGAUGAUGCAACUAUCUUAGUUCUAUAGAUAUCCUUCGGAUUAGAUUUCAAGGGUCAACGAGUGAUAAUGAAUUUUAUGCUAUUGGAAAGAUUGUUGCGAGGUAUCAUAUUAGUUUAUGACACUAGCGAGUCCAUUUAAGAAUCAAUUUUUUAUAGAAUUAGAAAGAGAAAAAGGAAAAAGAAUGUUGAAUGGUAGACUGCUGAUGUGAAUUUUUAGGUAUGGCAUAUUCUAACAAUUAUUCUUGGUGAAUUCGUUUAAGGAUGGUAAUGCCGAAUUGGGAAACUAAGUAAUAGAUUCAAAAUUAAUAAGCAUUUAGUGAAUGGACAUCAUAAAAAAAAAAUGAAAAAUUAGAAUUCUAAUGAUGCAAAAUGACAAAGUUGAGGCCUAUACCUCUAAACAAGUAAAAUCACAUGCAAAGAGUUACUCCACUCAUGAUCUAGUGCUAGCAGUGAUUGAGUUUUGCAUUAAAAAUAUUGUGGCAUUACUUGUAUGGUGAAAAAAAAUGUAAUGUCUUUAUAGAUUCCAAAAUCUUAAUUAUAUAUCUAUUUUAUUCAAAAAAUAAUUGAACAUGAGACAAAGGAAACAAAGGAGAUAGUUAGGGCUCUUGAAAGCUACAAUCUGUCUUUAAGAGAAACGAUGUACCAAAUGCCUUAGGCAGUAAGUCUUCUAUGACAUGUCAACAUUACCGAUUACUCAUGAAUUUAUCCCUCAGCGUAUAACAAAGUUGAAUCUAGAGGUAUUUGUUUAUCAAUUGGGUGCUCUUUUAGCUAAUCUCUUAGUACAACCAACCUUAAUUAGUAAAAUCAAGUCAAAAUAGAAUGAAAUUUUCCACUGAGGUAUAUCUAAAUUUCUUUUAAGAAGUAUAGAAUGGAAUUGGAUAAAGGAAAAGAAAAGGUGUAAGACUUGGUGGCUUUACAAUAAAACACAGAGAGAAACUAUCUCGAUUGAGAGAGAGAGAGAGAGAGAGAGUAGCCCGUGAAAACAAGAGAGAAGGGGAGAAGAAAAAAGGAAAGUAGAAAGGGAAAAGAAAAAGAGGGAAACUCGCAAGAGCUCGCCUCAAACGUCCCGAUAAGCCGAAUUAAUUUCAUUUCACAUUGCCUCAUAAGGAUUCAAGCUAUUUAUUCAUCUAAUCUGUGGAACUUUGACCAUGGCAUAAGGAAUUUGACUAAUGAGAGGUGGACGCACAUUCACAUACCGGAGAGUACUAACUUUUAUACUAUAUUAGAAGAUUUCAUCUCAAAAAUUUAAAUUUUAGAAUAGUUGAAGGUGAUUUUACAAAAUCCAAGAUGGUUUUAUAGCAUGAAGUCCUGAAUUCAAAUAUUUCAAAAUCCUAUAUGCCAUCCCAAUAUGUCCUGCUUAGUACUAAGAAAAAUCACAAUGAACAGAAUGGCUUGGCAAUUUAUCCAUAAUCUUAUUCUUUUAUUCACUUGCCGAAAGUGAUCACCUUUUGAAAAAGAGCCGAUUUCAAUUGAAGAGAGUGACAAGCCAAAAGAUAAUUUGACAAAACCCCUUUUAUGAUCGGUCUUUCUAUCUUCUUUGCUUCCUCUGAUGAUAAGCGUGACAGCAAUGCUCUAUCUGUGCACUGAUAAUUUAAUAAAACAGCCCCAACUAAUCUUUUCUCAUCCUAGUUGGUGUGUAUAAAUGAAAUGGAAGGAAAAGUCAUUGAAGUGCAUUUGUAGGUUGAUGUCAAAGUGUGGGGCCAUCUCACUCCAGGGCCUCCCUGUGAGCAAGUUUCGUAGAGAGAGAGAGAGAGAGAGGUUUCAUUACCUCGAAGCGUCCAAAUGUUUUGUUAAAAGGCAAUUUUACUAAAAGGGCAACAGAUAUAAAGCAAAUUUUACAACUAAGUCCAUUUUUCCUUUUAUGACAAUUAAUGAUCUUGUACAUGUGUUAAAAAAUUAAUUUCAGAAGGAACUUAGAAAGUUUGUGUCGCUAAUUUAUCAUUGUACUGGCCAAGCAGCCCGUGCUAUGCCAGGGGGCCGGGAGACACGUGGAUUCCAUCCCAUUGUUCUUUAAAUAGAGUACAAAAUACUCAGAGCCAUUUGUCAAAAAUUUCUCUGUACACAACAUGUUCAAUAUGGCACAAGUCCGUCUCUCAUUUUUACUUUGGAACUUGCAACCUAAAAUUGUCCACGGCUAUAAAAACCGGCCAAGGGAGUAACAAACCGACAUGGCUUAAAGUUUGGCCUCGACUUUUGUUUAUUGUCACAGAGAAAGGGGAGAUGCUUUCUCUUACAAAAAAAUGGCCAGUGAGAUUCGGUGGGUGACAUAAUUGUGCAUGGAAUCAGCACUUUGAGUACUACAUUACCUAAAUCCAAAGUCGGAUUAAUGAUUCAUAGUAACAUAACAGGCAUGCCUACUUUGAGCCGCAACUUGUGAUUGCAACCCCUGCAAGUUUUAGUGAUUAUGGAAACUCCACGGGAUGUCGCAUAUGAACACAGGAAGAGGCCUUACAAAUGGAAUCUGAGUUGUUGAAGGCCCCGUUUUAGAAGGUCAAUGGUAUGAACCGCGCUGUCAAUGGCAUGAGUUAAGCUCGUUAAUGAGGUGAUAGUAUGCCUACAGGAAAAAUAAUUGCCUGCAACCACUCUUCCAAAAUGCUUAUUAAUCAUGAGAACCUUACCGAUGCGAUCUAAUUUAAUUUUGAUGACUCUUGAACCCAUCAUAUCUGCUCUGUCUUGAAGGAUUUGUUGGGGACUCUCUGCAUUUCAUGAAAAUGCCCUCUUUUGUGCAUAAAUUUGCCUAGGUUCUGUUAGUUUCGAGAGAUUUUUUUUUUUUUUGUUAAAAAACAUUUUCCUCAUUUCCAAUCGUUUGAUCACUAAGGAUAAUGGGUCAAUAAAAAAUUAUAUUCCUUGUAAACUAAAAACCUUUGCUUAAACUAAGAAAAUGAUUUCCUCUUUCAAAAAUAAAAAAUUAUUUUUCCAAACAUGACUAAACAUCAGCAUUUGCACUAGAGACUUUACGCUUGAGUGUGGAAUCCAGAACACCCGUUCUUGAGUCCUUAGCAGCAGCCCCUGUUGUAGAUACCAACCAAGCCUAUGUCCAAAGACUGGAUUGAUGCCUAGGCCAAGUUCCUUGAUGCUCAAGCCUCAAAGCUUGAUACCCCCACCUAGCUCCUCGGCACUUAGGCCUAGGUCCACAGAGCUUGGGCCAAAGACCCUAGCACUCAUGCUCAAAUCCCCGAGGCUAGAGCCUAGGUCCAUCGAGACCAUACCUAGGACCUCAGUGGCCAUGCUCAGGUUACCUAUGCUUUGGCCUGGGUCCACAGAGGCUAGGCCGGGAUCUAAUGCCCAUGUCCGAUUUUUAAAUUGCUCAUGAUCAAAUCAUUUGUGCCCAAUUAUGUCUAUUUCAAAAAAUAAAGUAUGUUUUCCUUUUCAAACGAUGGAAUGAUUUUCAAAUUUUGGUCAAAUAAAAAAAAUGUCAUUUUUUUAGAAAUGACUUGGAAAGCAUUUUCCAAAAAUAUCAGAUUUUCCAAGAAAUAAAUUGCAAAUAUUUGCAACAUGCGCAUUAAAUGUGUAUUGAUCACAUUGCAAUUUCAAUGUAAUUUUUUAUAUUAAUGGAAAUAUGAGUAAUAAUUCUAAUAUUAUUAUUUUAUUUCUCUAUGUUCCAUUUUAAUAGUCAAUCCUUGGGAAUUAGAAUCAAGUGCAUUGACAGUAAGUAAAAAUCUUUACAAUGAUGUGGUAAAGAGAUACAACAUAUAGUCAAUCGAUACAAAAAAAAAAAAAAAAUCAGGAUCUAUUUUCGAUAUUUCUUUCUGGAGUUAACGUUGACCAAUUAUUGGAAGAGACAAAAGAACUUGAUCUGAGUUCAACUUCCUCGUAAACUACCUCCACAGCUACUCUUGCCGGGAAAGUUCAUGUCACUAAUUUAUCCCUGCACUAGCCUAGAAACCCGUGCUAUCCAGGUGAUGCACGUGGAUUCCAUUCAUUGUUCUUCAAUAGAAUAUAAAUUUUUCAGAGCCAAUUUGGAAAAAGGGAAUAAAUAUUUAAAUUGCUAUCGUGGCUUUACCUGGGGGUAGUUUAUCACCAUGGUAUAUGGUACAUGAACACUGGAAGAGGCCUCGCGAAUGGAAUCUGAGCUUACAGCACAUCGUUGCCUUUAUGUAUAUAUAAUAAUGAAGCCACUAUAGAAUUAGAGCAUGUGGAAGGCUUCUUUUUUGAAGUUCAAUGGUAUAAACCACUGUCAAUGGCAUGAGUCAAGCUUGUAAAUGAGGCGAUGAAGUAAUAAAAGAUUAUAGUCUGCUCUCCUGAAAUGCUUAUUAGUAAUAGGAUCCUUAAUGUGUGAAUCUAAUUUAAUUUUAAUAGCUCUCAGACCUAUAUUCGUUAUGUCUCGAAGUAUUUGUCAGGAAAAUCUCUUCAUUUCUUGAGUUUCUGUGCAAUUUGACAAGCAUCACAAACUAUACAAGCGAGCUAGGCAAGUGGGCAAGUGUGUUUUGUCGUUGCUUCUCUCUCUGGGACCCCGAGACAUUCGCGCCGGUGGCUGGGUCUGUCCCUUCCCAUGUGCACACCCUCUCUCAUUUCUUGUUUCUAAUUUUAUUUCUCUUUUUUUCACUCCAUUUAUUUAUCUCAAAUAUACAAUGAGUCGAAGGAGCAUUGUAUAUAUGAUAUAAAUAAGGCGAACAAAAAAAGUAUAGUCUAAGGAAUUAAUUGGCUAAAAAAAAGUUUAGGAAUUAGGGUGAAUAUAUUGCAAAAUUUAACAACUAUUGGUGUCUUCAACCAUUUUUUGGAAGGUAAAAAGUUCUCAAUGACAUUAAUGAAAAUAUAAAAGAAUCUAUGUAUAUGGUUGACAAAAAUUUCUUCUUGACCCCAUGAAUGGAUUAACCUCACUAGAAGACAAGCGCUAGACUUUGGUACAUUUUGCAAUUAAAUGAAUAAUUAUGUCAUUUUUGUUUUAUCAAAAUUGUACGUUUAUAUCUAUACCGGAUGUUUCGGUGAAUUCCUCUUUUACCUCUGUCACCUUGACACUUUCAGAUUUCCUUCCGCUUCAAAAAUGAAAGGGCUUGUGGUCCUCUAAGUUCAAACCAUAUAUGAUUAACAAAGGAUUAUAGAAAGCUAACGUGUAGUUUAUACCAAUACAUUGUAGUAAUUACGCAAAUUAUGUUGUUUAUUCCAGGAACUCCAUGUUUACUUUGCUUGGCAAUGUAACGAAAGUCAAUGAACUGCAAGUCAUUCUAGUCUUGGACUAACAUUGGAAGGCAUAAUUCAAUCUCACCCUUAAUCAUCAUGUUCCAUAUGAAUAUAUUGGACUAACAUUGCUAAUGAUAUUGAAUUCAUGAAGGUAGUCAGAAACAUGCACUGAUGACCUACAACAACGAGUAGCAGAUGUAAAUCAUACAUUAAACGUCACUAAGGAGGUCGGUAAUAAGCAAUCACAGCAUACGAAGACUGAAUUGCCGACAGAACCAGAAGUAUGAAUGCCGCUAUAGCUGAUAUGAGAUACCACCGCGAUUUGAAGUAGAUGUUCUUGAAGCUGGCCCAAUGCACUCGGAAGUCCUUCUCACAAUACGUGUUCACAUCCUGGAACACCUGGCAUAAAUGGUUCUUGCGGAUGUCAAACACAACAUCUUUCCCAAUGUUGCUAAAGAAAUGGGCAAUUUUCUCAUCCGUCCCAAAAUAUCUCUCAAUGAUCUUGCGGUUGCAUAGAAACUCGGCAUCUGCCGGUGUGUUAAGGAGGCAAGCCAUGAAAGUGGCAUAAGUUGUGACAUGCUUGGAGGAGUCCCUGUGGCAUUGCUCAAAUGCAAUAAAAUUAAGGAACAGAGAACUCAAGAAGUCAUCGAAUUUUAGUACCGGAAUUUCCAAGACACCAUUGCUGAAUUUGAUGUCCAUGAAGCUUUCACAAUGGGUGGGCUUGAACUUAAUGCCUGCCCGGUGGAGCUUGUUCGCUGGCUGGAUCAGGCGAAGGAAUUUAUUUUGUUCUCGCUUUGUUUCUGGAGAGUCAUGGAUGUAAGUCGAACGGAGGAAAUCAAGCAGAUGUUCUCCUUCCCAAUCGGAGUACUUCUUCAAGACAUCCUUUGGUCUUUGAAGCAUCCGAUUGAAGAAACUCAAGGCGAGAUCGGAUAGAGAAGGAUCGCUCUCAUUUGAAGAUCCCAGCGUCAGAUCGAACAGACGUUUAAGAACGAACCAUGGAAUUUGGUUCUCGAGUUUGGCCAGAUCCCGCAUAAGGAAAGGCAAAACCCAGGGCUCUGUCAAC
rnacentral:lncRNA from 1 species